UUGUUCACGGACUGGCACCUCCCUACCUAGCUGCACCUAAUUAAACCUUACGUCCCGGCCCGGGCUUGUGUUCUCAGGGUGCAGGAUACUUUGUGUCUGUAGGGUGAAUAAAGUCUGCAGAUCAUAGAGCUUUCUCUCAUCGUGCCCCUGUUCUGUGUAAUGAUCU